CGGUUCGUUCGCGACCGACACAUCACUAUAAUGUGCUCAGUCUUACCAACCACAAUGAUGAGUCUUGAUAUUCUCUUCAGUGUAUGAACUUGACAGGAGUUAAUAAUUCACUUCAUAUGAUUCCUGCCAUUGCUGAUUGUUCGUUUCUUCUUUUUGGAGUGAUGAGGGGGAGAAUAUGAUCAGAGUGGU
rnacentral:snoRNA from 1 species